GCAAUCCUCUUUGACGUAACCCACCCGGUGGUACGAGCCAAUUCGGGCKGGGCGGUCAUUUUAAGAGAAGCACGCUUUCCUCUUCGACGUAACCCACCCGGUGGUACGAGCCAAUUCGGGCUGGGCGGUCAUUUUAAGAGAAACGCGAACGCUACACGAGGGCAGAACAAGGGUCCCAUGAGACCCCAUGCCCACAUCAGGUUCCGUAUCCAAGAUAGCAAGCAAUGCUCAAUGGGCCACAACAACAACGCAAGCGUUAACGACGUGGUACAAAGAGACAGCUUCAAGGUUCAUCUGAUGCCACAUGAAUGACACAAGACGAAGGCAACUUUGUUCGAUCGGGACAAUACCAUAACUUAGGUAGGCAGCACAGGAAACCCGCGAUCUGCAUAGGCGAUACAAGCCUAAGCAAGCGACUGAAGAGGUAUGCAGGGUGGCAGUUGUUGCGCAAGCAAA
rnacentral:misc_RNA from 1 species